rnacentral:rRNA from 1 species
AUCCACAGCCAUAUCACCCUGCAGCACAAGACCAGUUACUCACUGAAGCUAAGCAGGGCUGAGCCUGGUCAGUACUUGGAUGGGAACCACAUGAAAAAACUUUGCUGUUGGAA